UACCCGUACCGCAAACCGACACAGGUAGUCGAGUGGAGAACACUAAGGUGAGCGAGAGAACUCUCGUUAAGGAACUCGGCAAAAUGACCCCGUAACUUCGGAAGAAGGGGUGCUAGCCAAGAGAUUGGUUAGCCGCAGUGAAUAGGCCCAAACAACUGUUUAUCAAAAACACAGGUCUCUGCAAAAUCGUAAGAUGACGUAUAGAGGCUGACACCUGCCCGGUGCUGGAAGGUUAAGGGGAAGGCUUAGCAUA
rnacentral:rRNA from 1 species